AUUGAACGCUGGCGGCAUGCCUUACACAUGCAAGUCGAGCGGUAACGGGCCUUCGGGUGCCGACGAGUGGCGAACGGGUGAGUAAUGCAUCGGAACGUACCUUUCAGUGGGGGAUAACGUAGCGAAAGUUACGCUAAUACCGCAUAUUCUGUGCGCAGGAAAGCAGGGGAUCGCAAGACCUUGCGCUGAUUGAGCGGCCGAUGUCAGAUUAGCUAGUUGGUGAGGUAAAGGCUCACCAAGGCGACGAUCUGUAGCGGGUCUGAGAGGAUGAUCCGCCACACUGGAACUGAGACACGGUCCAGACUCCUACGGGAGGCAGCAGUGGGGAAUUUUGGACAAUGGGGGCAACCCUGAUCCAGCCAUGCCGCGUGAGUGAAGAAGGCCUUCGGGUCGUAAAGCUCUUUCGGCCGGGAAGAAAUCGCAUGGGUUAAUACCCUGUGCGGAUGACGGUACCGGCAUAAGAAGCACCGGCUAACUACGUGCCAGCAGCCGCCGCGGUAA
rnacentral:rRNA from 1 species